UGAGCUCAAAUCAGGUAGGACUACCCGC
rnacentral:rRNA from 1 species